AUUGAACGCUGGCGGCAUGCUUUACACAUGCAAGUCGAACGGUAACAGGCCUUCGGGUGCUGACGAGUGGCGAACGGGUGAGUAAUGCAUCGGAACGUGCCCAGAGGUGGGGGAUAACGCAGCGAAAGCUGUGCUAAUACCGCAUGUGAUCUGAGGAUGAAAGCGGGGGACCAGGCAGCAAUGUUUGGCCUCGCGCCUUUGGAGCGGCCGAUGUCAGAUUAGGUAGUUGGUGGGGUAAAGGCCUACCAAGCCGACGAUCUGUAGCUGGUCUGAGAGGACGACCAGCCACACUGGGACUGAGACACGGCCCAGACUCCUGCGGGAGGCAGCAGUGGGGAAUGUUGGACAAUGGGCGCAAGCCUGAUCCAGCAAUGCCGCGUGCGGGAAGAAGGCCUUCGGGUUGUAAACCGCUUUUGUACGGAACGAAAAGGCUCUGGCUAAUACCUGGGGCUGAUGACGGUACCGUAAGAAUAAGCACCGGCUAACUACGUG
rnacentral:rRNA from 1 species